UUUGUUUCAACAACACGAUUAAUUUAUUAUAAGAAAUACUGCGUUGUACUUAUAGUGUGCACCUUAACAAAUCGAUUUAUAAAUAUAUUUCAAUAAUUUCUGAUAAUAAGGUGUCAAUGGUUAAAGAUGAUCGCAUGAUUGACAACAGUUGAGCACACAUGUAAGUGGCGCAAUAAAAUUAGAAAUCAAAAUCGAUAACUGAAAAUCAUGACGCAAAAAAUAUCAUAUCAUCACAACGUACUGUAUAUUAUGGUGCUAAGGUUAAAUGUGAAAUAAAAUUUGUCCCAUUUGUUUAUGUAUCUUAAAAUAUUUGUAAACAUCGAACUACCAGAUUGCUUUUUGUACAAGGCAAUUGGAUUUUUGAAUAUUAAUCGAAAUUUUUGUACAUCGAUGAUCAUCAACAAUCAUUCAUUUUUCUUUUGGCUAAUAAUCGCUAAGCAUGCAUGAAUAACAUUCGAUUUUCACAUGUCUCAGAUUGGAAUAAACCUUCUAUUUUCUAAAUGCGUAAUUCUAUCUAAUCUGCCUCUACCACCUAAUUAGAAUUUAUAUGACGUAUGUUUUUUUUGCAAAAUCCAUAGUGAAAUAAAAAAACACGUUCCAAGUUCAAGGUAAAACGAGUCUGCCAAAACAAUGAUGAGUGUGCAAAUAGUAUAGGAAUAUUUCUAUCAUAAAAACACACAGCUGUUAAUCUAUAAAAAAUGUACAUCAAGUAUGUGUGACUCUUAGAAUAUGGAAAACUUUAUUGUAAUUUAUAUUUCAGAUUGAAUCGAUAAGUAAAAAUUUGUGAAAAAAUCGCGAUUACGACUUUAAACUACUUGCGUAUUAAAUAGAAAAUUCACAUUUCGGGGAAAAAUAUGGUUUUACUUGUCUCUUUCACUACGGAUGAAUUGGUUUGUUUUUCAAUACUUCACGUUCAAACACAUUUGAUUGGCGUGCUUGCGCAAUUCCAAUAAAAUGAUGAGCAUCUAUAUAUUAAUGCGCUAGCCCAAAAAGUUUUCGUACCAUUUUAACCAUUUUAUACCCAACUUAUUUUGAUGCCACUGGUACCAUUUGAAAGGCCUUGAUGAGUAGAUGUGCAGAAUGUCAUUCAGAAUUCACAUAUGUCAAGUUUGACAUGAGUUUGAAGCAUGUUAGUAAACACCCUGCUCCGGGUCCGGAUUCCACGGAGACCCGAGGCACCGACCCGAAGGGCGUUUUUCAAACGAAAAAAGCGAAAAAACCAUCCAUUUCUGAGAUAUGAAUGAGAAAUUGAAAAUGGUUGUGCCCAAGGAAAGUUGGUUUUAAAAUUUUUUAAAUUUGUCAAAUUUUUUAAACAAUUUUUAGAACUAACUUUCUGUGGGCACAACCAUUUCCGAUUUUUUUCAUUCAUAUCUCAGAAAUGGAUGGUUUUUUCGCUUGAAAAACGCUCUUCGGGUCGGCCCCCAGUUCCCAAAUAGUCGAAUUUCGACCACUGGGCGGCCCUAGUAGAUGAAUAAAGUGAAACUUCAUCGACAUUCGCUGGGAAGAAAUGUGUAUCUUAAUUAUUUAUUUUAUUUCUUCGAAGUUCAGAAAAAUGCAUAGAAAUAUAUAGAAAAAUGUAUGAGACGAUGCAGAUGUAUCUCUACUACGUGACAUCUUACUCAAUAGUGACAAAGUCGUGUACGUGCAUAAAUUAUCGCCUAUUUUUGUAUCGAAAGAUUUGUUCAAGCCAAAACUAGAAUCUCGGUAGUUUUUUGAACUAUGGCGUUAGACACCAUUUCGCCAGUUCAAAGUGUUCAAGAUGUGAUCUUCUGAUUAAAAAUCAAAUUUUCCACCAUUUUACCGAAAAAUGAAUUCGAUGUAAUAUAAAUUGAAAUAUUGAACUUUCAAUGGGUGUUGAAUACUAAAAAAACCUAUUUUUUACUUAUUUCCACUGUCAAGUAUUGAAUAUCUUAGUGGAGUUUUCUUACAAAAAAUAUCUCCCAGCUCAUAUAAACAACUUUCAAACUGGAGUAAAUUUGACUAAAUUCGUUUUGAAAAACUGAACUGUAACGUAACGUAUGCAUAUUUGAAUUGAUUAUAUAGAUGAAACUUUAUACCUCGAUCUUGUAGUGAAACAAGAGAAGAAAAUCUAUUCUUAAAGUGGAACAUAUACUUUUAUACGCUACCGAUAAGAGGUAAGUGAUAACAAUUGAUUGCAUUCCAAUCUAUAACUUUGCCCUUGACUUUCAUCACUUAUCUCUUAUCAGUACAGCGUGACAAUCGCCAAAAAGUAUAUGUUUCAGUUUAUAAGAUUUUUUUGUCUUGUUUCACUUAAAGAUCAAAAACAUUCAAAGGUUCAUAUUCAACCCAACUAAUUCAUUUCCUUAUGCAAAAGAUGUCACACAUGGUUGCCAAAAAGUUUUCAUGCAUAAAAUCAUGACAGGAACUGACGGAUAAAAUUGAUUUUCCUUUUGAAUGCAUUCGUCACACUUGUGUCCAUACAUAGCGCAAAAAUGUUAUUCGAUUUCAUAUUGGAAAACUUUUUCAUAUGCCUGCGUUUGAGAGAAGAAUGUUCUUUUAUCAUCUUUUCAAAAAAUGUAAUUUACAGUUGAAAUCUUCAAACUAUUAAUUAGCUCUAGAAAUAUGCACGAUAUAAUAAUCAUUUUGUUUAUAAUGUCAUUGGAACUUCUUCUCAUUUUGUCCAAGAAAAAUGCAUUGAAAAUGGUCCGUUCCAUUUUUUUUUGUUUAUAUAUUCGUAUAUAAAACUGUCGAAGCAAAAACAUUUUGCUUCUCUUUGGGGAUUUCCCUUUCUGUCUCCAAUUCGUAAAACAGCAGUUUUGACGCAGCAACCGUCACGCCAUGUGGUGUUCAAAGGAUGAAACAUUGGCGCCGAACGAUUCGUUUUGCAAAUGUCACUCAGCACAGCGGCUCAUUGGUGUAGGAACAUUGACAAGAAAUUGACGCACAUUUUUUUGAGUGAACAUUCAACAAGAAAAGGCAAUUGUUUUUGCGAAAUAGUUGCUUUAAUUGCGAGACCAAAACCCUUUUACAGAUUAUUUCGCAAUUUUGAGGCGAGAUCCGCAUUGAGACAGGGAGACAGAGAGCAAACGAAGCCUGAUCUAUUCAAAUCGUUUGGAUUCAUACGAAGUGGACUUAUUGUGACCGAGAUCCAUCGCGAUGGCGAGGCGUAAGCGGCACAAUAAGACGUUUGGUAAGCCAAGGGAGAAAAAAGUGCAGAUGAAAAAGCACUCCAUUGUGAAGAAAAAACGUGUCAAUCGGAAAGAAGAUCCAACAAAACAGUCGACAGAAAAUGGCACAAUCGAAAUCGGCGCGAUCAAAUUGGCAUUUAAUUCGAUAAUUAAUCCGAAGUUAACAGAAACAGAAAUAGGAUUUCUGAUCCAUUAGUUCUUCGAGAAAUGUUUGAAUGUUACGAAAGUCAUGCAUCUUGCAUCGAUGUUAAUGCUCUACAGAAUCAACGAAGCAUUUGAUGAUGACAAUUUGAACUUCUUCGUGAAUCAAAAUGGAGCAAAUGUGAUUACAGACUGUUUCAACUGUGUCACAUCGGACAACAUCAAAGAUCCACUCACAGCCCAAAUGCCAGACGCAUUUCUCGCGAUGGUGACACAAGGUAGCCCCAACUUUGAAUGGCCACGCCGCCAUCAAAUGACCCGUCAAGUUUAUGCUCUCAAGGACCAGUAUGUGGCCAAUGUGAAGACAAAUUUGGAGACGCACUGUUGGGUGAGAUUGACCCACUUUCUACGUGUAAAGUGCCAUGAAUUCAAUCACAAAGGAAGCCCCCCAUACUUACCUUUCGAUGACAUUGACAUUCGAAAUACGAUGAAAAAUGAGAAUGAAGAUUGGACAUAUGAUGAUGAUGAAAGUCGAAAGUGGAAGAUGGCAAUACUGUUUAAGGAAGUGUCUCAGCUUUGUGGCCCAUCAUUCGUAAAAUACUUCACAAUGUACGAAUACAUUCAAAAGGACUGGUUCGAGUCUUUGUGGAUGUGGAUAGGCAUGCAACGAAUUGUCGAGAAAUUUUCACCUUCGUCAACAGUGGAAAGCAUACGAUCGUGAUCCAGUGAACAAUCGAGAGCCGUCGGUACCGAAGAUACCAAAAGUGAAGAAUUUCGCCGCAAUUCCAUUCAGUGAUACAAAACUGAAGCACAUACCAUUCGACCAUAAUGAUUUGAUUGAAAUCAUUGGCCAGUUGAGAAAAGAACGGGGAUGGAAUAUCCGUGCUGAUUAUCGUACAUACUACAAGCAAGGCGAGAACAAAGACGAGGCAUGGGGAAUUGUGUUCGAUAUUGACAAAAUCAGACGGCUCAGAACCGGUUCGAAAGUGUUUUACCACAAAAUUCAAACCAACAGUAGUGCCGCGUCGGUGUUGUUUAGCAGACCCAAACGCAAAGGAGCCGGCGUGACUCUGUCUGAAAUCAAGGCAAAGUACGAAAAGCCAGUCAGCAAAGGCGGUUACAAGUAUGAGUCAGGAAUUGAUCCCGGCCAGAAAACAAAAAUGGCCUGCGUGCGUCGGACUCUCGCUACUGGAACUGAAACCAACAUCAAAUUAUCGAGUAUUCAAUAUCACUGGGGUGCGCGACAAGGAAUGCGCGACAAACGGGCCAAAAAAAUGACCAGAAAGUACGUGCACAAAGAACAGCGCGACUUGAAAAGCUAUCCGAUCACAUCCGUAUCGCCGCGAGGAUCACAAUGGAAAUCAUUCAUUAAGCACAGAAUCAAAAUGCUAACAGAUUCAUUGGCUACAUACGCAAGAAGAAAGUACGCACAGCUAUCGUUGCACAAGUACAUCGAGUCUAAUCGCGAAAUGGAUUUGAUGGCUAAACACAUAACAAACAAUAAGACAGGAGUUGUGUUCCUUGGUGAUGCGGCGUUCCCAUCAAAUUCGAAAAUCGGUGUGAAAAGAACAAAACGAACACCGGAUCAGCGAAAGUUCAUAGUUAGCCUAAAAAAAAACGGCAAAACGGAUGUUGUGCUUACACCAGAGCCGUAUACAUCACAAACCUGUGCCAAUUGCUUGCGGCGAUUUCCGAGAAGUACAAAAAGUGACCGAUUCAAAGUGUGCAAAGAUUGUCGCCCACACAAGGAUGUGAGACUCCCACCGGUUAUUGUGACUGAUCGAAGCAGACGGCGCAAGCAACGUGAUCGAAAAGAAAAUGCCAGCCAAAAGCCAACAGCAAAUGUAACUAGAGCCGAAAGAGCUGAGAAGCACCGGGAAAAGCGUCGAAGUGAGCGUGAAAGCCACAAUCCAGAGCAAUUGGAUACCGAACAGGCAGUGAGACGGUACAAUCGACGCAUACGACGGCGUGAACUACGUCAACGACGUCGAGUUGCAGGCCAUUGCAGCCUUAAAGUAACCAAACAGCCGGAAGCGGAAUCCGAUUUGCCAGGUUUUGAUAAAAUUGGUGACACAAGUAUUUGCAAGAUUCGUGUCAAAAAUCGUAAGGCCAAACCACAAUUAUGGCAGCGAAUACAUUACGAUGCAACUGAUAAAGGAAUUGGGGAUUUGGGGUCAAAGAAAAUAUUCUUCCAGAAAAACUGGCACUCAAGCCCAAUGAAUGAUCAGAACGCUUUUACUGUUACUUGGCAUCGUGACAUCUGUGCGGCGAAGUGCAUCUUGUACAGAGGCCGUUGUAUGGUUUUCGACUUGAAUGUGCACGAAUCAUUUGUGUUACCACCAGAAAGGAUAUGGCCAAAAUGUCGAGAUGGCCAAUCGAGAUGGCCAAUCAAAUGCUGUCGAUGAUAAGUAGAGCGUAGAUUAAGAGGAUAAAAUAAAACAUUGACGAUUAGUUAUUUUCAAAGCUUGAUUUUUGUGGCUUUGUACAUAUUAAAAUGUGUGUGCAAAUACACGAUGUAAUACGGGUUAAACCCGUAGUUAAUAGUCUGAUUUGAUGAUUUAAUUUGGUUCAAUUUGUACUUAUAAUUUUUGCUAAGUCUAUCAUAAUGGAGAUGGAUUUUAACUUGGUUACCAACCCUAGAAUUUUUCUAUGCCUUGAGCGGAAACAGUGACGUAUAAUGUAUAGGCAUUAGCCAAGAAUGAGAUACGAAUUGAUUUUUACAUUUUUUUUUUCUUGAAGUCAUUUGUGUUUUCUGUAAACGUUCAUUACUCUAUUAGAUUGUAGACGAAAAACUACGAAAUAAACACUUGAAAAUUUGUUGACUAAACAUUA